rnacentral:rRNA from 1 species
AUGGCCGGCAGCAGCAGGGCACGGCCAGCGCGGCCAGCCACGGCCACGCGCACGUGCACAGUCAGCAGCAGCAGGUCAUGGCCGGCAGCCCCAGGCGACGUUUCGCUCAAAAAAAUGCACGCACGCACGCACCUGCGCCGCCGCCGCCGCCGUCCAGCGCACAGCCUCUUGCCGUCGCGGCCACCAGUCUCCCUGCGACUUACCACCAUGUCCAGGAGCUUCACAACCGUGAGAUCUCCUUCCCCACGCAAUGAAUCGACCGGAUUCGCCCCGAAGCUGUCGCCAUCGUCCUCCUUCCCCAACUCCUGCCGCCGUCGUUCGUCGUCCAUUACGUCGCCGUCGCUGCUUCCUCAGCCUCCCCGACCCCUCCAUGGAGUUCACCGUGAGCCACCCUCCCUUUCCAUUAUGUUAUUCCCUCCGAUUAGCGCCCGCAGCUGUCUCUCGCCGCCGCGGUGA